CCUGAUUUACAUAAACUUCAGCUUUGAUAUUCUCGGUUUAGACAGUGUUUAUUUUUAAAAUUACUUCGCCAAUGAACUCAUAAGAUGGGUCGUUUUUUAAGCACGUUAAAACAUUCGCAACCGAUCUUUAUCUAACCUGCGACCCCAAGAACGCCUGAUCGCAGGUUAAUCUUUAUCUGAUAUACAAAGUUUGUAUGUCAGAUAAAGAUCGGCUGCUCAUGUUUUAACUACAGGGUGUAUAAAAAAAACGGAGUCCUCACAUGAAGUGUAAAUUUCAAAGCGAAUAUGAAAGUUAGACGUUUAUACUUGCAUUCUUUCGAAAUCGCGAUCUUUCGGCUAUUUUAUAUACUUUAUUUUAUAAAAUUUGGAGUUAUUGCUGGCAAGCUGUGUCAAUUUAAGUAAGUGCAAUUGGAAAAUUAAAAAACGUAGAUGUCUUGAAUUCACAAUCUGUUUAAACGUUCCAAAAAAUAAGUUGGAAGUACACAGUUACUCAACGUGGCCCCCACUUCUAAGUUCACACAAGUUCGUUCUUUGUCUCAUAUCCAAGACAACUCUUCGGAUAAAUUCUGGGUUUUCUUGUAAGACAUUUGCCUCAUUCUGUAUCCUUUGACGAAGGUUGUUGAUAUCUUGUGGUGGUGUAUGGUACACUUUGUCCUUAAGGUACCCCCAAAGGAAAUAAUCGCACGGUGUCAGAUCGGGUGAGCGGGGCGGCCAUUCGAUAGGAAGAUGUAAAGCAAUAACACGAUUGAUCUGCAAAAAUUUCUGAAAGUCUUUCUCGUACAGCGAUCAGUUGGUGUGCUGGGGCGCCGUCUUGAGCCCACCAAAGUCGCUGAAAAUUGCCGUCUUGAUAUUGAUUGUUAAACAAUUCAAUAAGUUGCUGGAUAAUGUAAUCAUUCAGUAGGUCAAGAUAAGCAUUACCACCAACAUUACGAGCAAAAAAGAAAGGUCCGAGGAUAGCUCCAUUUCCACAGAUACCCAUCCAUACAGUUACCUUUCGUCUUUCAUCGCGCCUGUCAAAAUUAAAGUCUGGCGGAUUACCUCUUGGUGCAUACUGUCUGACAUUAUGGGAAUUUACUUCUCCAUUCAUACAAAACGCUGCUUCAUCGCCGAUAACAAAAUUUGCUAGAAAACGAUGAUUUCGUUGGUGGUUUGAGAACCACCGACAGAAAUUUCGUCGUCGAAGAUAAUCAUUCCCUUCAAUUCAUGCCGAACACUUAUUUGAUAUGGAUGCCAUCUCAAGUCUAGCCUCGUGAUUCUGUUGAACGUUGCGGACGGGAGACCGAGGCCGUUUCUUCUCGCACUUACAUGUGGAUUGUUCUCAAG